rnacentral:rRNA from 1 species
UAGUCCACGCCGUAAACGAUGUCAACUAGGUGUAGGGGGUGUUGAUCCCUUCUGUGCCGCAGCUAACGCAUUAAGUUGACCGCCUGGGGAGUACGGUCGCAAGAUUAAAACUCAAAGAAAUUGACGGGGGCCCGCACAAGCGGUGGAGUAUGUGGUUUAAUUCGAGGCAACGCGAAGAACCUUACCAGGGCUUGACAUCGCCUGACAACCCAAGAGAUUGGGCGUCCCUUCGGGGCAGGUAGACAGGUGGUGCAUGGUUGUCGUCAGCUCGUGUCGUGAGAUGUUGGGUUAAGUCCCGCAACGAGCGCAACCCUUGCCGUCAGUUGCCAUCAUUAAGUUGGGAACUCUGGCGGGACUGCCGGUGAUAAAUCGGAGGAAGGUGGGGAUGACGUCAAAUCAUCAUGCCCCUUAUGUCCUGGGGCUACACACGUACUACAAUGGCCGCUACAGCAGGGAAGCGAAAUCG